GAUGAACGCUGGCGGCGUGCCUAAUACAUGCAAGUCGAGCGAACAGACGAGGAGCUUGCUCCUCUGACGUUAGCGGCGGACGGGUGAGUAACACGUGGAUAACCUACCUAUAAGACUGGGAUAACUUCGGGAAACCGGAGCUAAUACCGGAUAAUAUAUUGAACCGCAUGGUUCAAUAGUGAAAGACGGUUUUGCUGUCACUUAUAGAUGGAUCCGCGCCGCAUUAGCUAGUUGGUAAGGUAACGGCUUACCAAGGCAACGAUGCGUAGCCGACCUGAGAGGGUGAUCGGCCAAACUGGAACUGAGACAAGGGCCAGACUCCUACGGGAGGCAGCAGUAGGGAAUCUUCCGCAAUGGGCGAAAGCCUGACGGAGCAACGCCGCGUGAGUGAUGAAGGUCUUCGGAUCGUAAAACUCUGUUAUUAGGGAAGAACAAAUGUGUAAGUAACUAUGCACGUCUUGACGGUACCUAAUCAGAAAGCCACGGCUAACUACGUG
rnacentral:rRNA from 1 species